AUUGAACGCUGGCGGCAGGCUUAACACAUGCAAGUCGAGCGGGGUGAUGGCGCUUGCACUAUCACUUAGCGGCGGACGGGUGAGUAAUGCUUAGGAAUCUGCCUAUUAGUGGGGGACAACAUCUCGAAAGGGAUGCUAAUACCGCAUACGUCCUACGGGAGAAAGCAGGGGAUCACUUGUGACCUUGCGCUAAUAGAUGAGCCUAAGUCGGAUUGGCUAGUUGGUGGGGUAAAGGCCUACCAAGGCGACGAUCUGUAGCGGGGCUGAGAGGAUGAUCCGCCACACUGGGACUGAGACACGGCCCAGACUCCUACGUGAGGCAGCAGUGGGGAAUAUUGGACAAUGGGGGGAACCCUGAUCCAGCCAUGCCGCGUGUGUGAAGAAGGCCUUAUGGUUGUAAAGCACUUUAAGCGAGGAGGAGGCUCUUUUGGUUAAUACCCAAGAUGAGUGGACGUUACUCGCAGAAUAAGCACCGGCUAACUCUGUGCCAGCAGCCGCCGUAA
rnacentral:rRNA from 1 species